rnacentral:rRNA from 1 species
GACGAACGCUGGCGGCGUGCCUAAUACAUGCAAGUCGAGCGGACUUAAAAAGCUUGCUUUUUAAGUUAGCGGCGGACGGGUGAGUAACACGUGGGCAACCUGCCUGUAAGACUGGGAUAACUUCGGGAAACCGGAGCUAAUACCGGAUAAUCCUUUUCUACUCAUGUAGAAAAGCUGAAAGACGGUUUACGCUGUCACUUACAGAUGGGCCCGCGGCGCAUUAGCUAGUUGGUGAGGUUACGGCUCACCAAGGCGACGAUGCGUAGCCGACCUGAGAGGGUGAUCGGCCACACUGGGACUGAGACACGGCCCAGACUCCUACGGGAGGCAGCAGUAGGGAAUCUUCCGCAAUGGACGAAAGUCUGACGGAGCAACGCCGCGUGAGUGAUGAAGGUUUUCGGAUCGUAAAACUCUGUUGUUAGGGAAGAACAAGUACGAGAGUAACUGCUCGUACCUUGACGGUACCUAAACAGAAAGCCACGGCUAACUACGUG